AAAUUACUCUCUCCGUCUGAAAAAGCUUGUCCCUCAAAUGGAUGUAUCUAGCACCAAGUUAGUGGUAGAUAUAUCCAUUUGAGAGACAAGCUUGGGACAAGCUCUUUCGGACGGAGGGAGUACUAC
rfam:Triticum aestivum genome assembly, contig: Triticum_aestivum_CS42_TGACv1_scaffold_000948_1AL